rnacentral:sRNA from 1 species
AGUGAUGUUUGGGUAAAGCAGUGAUGUUUGGGUAAGGCAGUGGAUGAGGUUAAGGGUUCCUGGGGUGGUUUAUUUGGGACACUGAUUACUAACAGUAAAAUGUCUACAAAUAUUUGAAUGUAGAUAGAACAUGGUGAGACUGGGCAUGAUUCAGAAAAGCUGGAAGAUCUAGAGAGGGAUCUUGCAAUCUGAAGUUUGUUUAGUCACUGGAGGUGAGCCCGAGAAUUUGCAUUUCUGACAAGAUCCCAGGAUUUGAACGUCUAUGACACUCUUCCGAGCUGACACAGUGAAGAACAUGGAAGGAGAACUCACCCAGUCUGCCAGGGUCACAGAUGAUCAUACUCAAGAUCUUCCUGGGGAGUCAACGGCAAAUUUCACUGGG